GUAGCAGUGAAAUGCGUAGAGAUGUGGAGGAAUACCGAUGGCGAAGGCAGCCCCCUGGGCCAAUACUGACGCUCAUGCACGAAAGCGUGGGGAGCAAACAGGAUUAGAUAGCCUGGUAGUCCACGCCCUAAACGAUGUCAAGUAGUUGUUGGGGAUUCAUUUCCUUAGUAACGUAGCUAACGCGUGAAGUUGACCGCCUGGGGAGUACGGUCGCAAGAUUAAAACUCAAAGGAAUUGGCGGGGACCCGCACAAGCGGUGGAUGAUGUGGAUUAAUUCGAUGCAACGCGAAAAACCUUACCUACCCUUGACAUGGUCGGAAUCCCGAAGAGAUUCGGGAGUGCUCGAAAGAGAACCGGCGCACAGGUGCUGCAUGGCAGUCGUCAGCUCGUGUCGUGAGAUGUUGGGUUAAGUCCCGCAACGAGCGCAACCCUUGUCCUUAGUUGCUACGCAAGAGCACUCUAAGGAGACUGCCGGUGACAAACCGGAGGAAGGUGGGGAUGACGUCAAGUCCUCAUGGCCCUUAUGGGUAGGGCUUCACACGUCAUACAAUGGUCGGAACAGAGGGUAGCCAACCCGCGAGGGGGAGCUAAUCCCAGAAAACCGAUCGUAGUCCGGAUUGCACUCUGCAACUCGAGUGCAUGAAGCUGGAAUCGCUAGUAAUCGCGGAUCAGCAUGCCGCGGUGAAUACGUUCCCGGGUCUUGUACACCCCCCCCGUCCCCCCAUGGGAGUGGGUUUUCCCAGAAGGGGUAGUCUUCCGCAAGGAGGACGUCUACAACGA
rnacentral:rRNA from 1 species